AUUGAACGCUGGCGGCAGGCUUAACACAUGCAAGUCGAGCGGGGUGAUGGUGCUUGCACUAUCACUUAGCGGCGGACGGGUGAGUAAUGCUUAGGAAUCUGCCUAUUAGUGGGGGACAACAUCUCGAAAGGGAUGCUAAUACCGCAUACGUCCUACGGGAGAAAGCAGGGGAUCACUGGUGACCUUGCGCUAAUAGAUGAGCAUAAGUCGGAUUAGCUGGUUGGUGGGGUAAAGGCCUACCAAGGCGACGAUCUGUAGCGGGUCUGAGAGGAUGAUCCGCCACACUGGGACUGAGACACGGCCCAGACUCCUACGGGAGGCAGCAGUGGGGAAUAUUGGACAAUGGGGGGAACCCUGAUCCAGCCAUGCCGCGUGUGUGAAGAAGGCCUUAUGGUUGUAAAGCACUUUAAGCGAGGAGGAGGCUCUUUUGGUUAAUACCCAAGAUGAGUGGACGUUACUCGCAGAAUAAGCACCGGCUAACUCUGUGCCAGCCGCCGCAGUAA
rnacentral:rRNA from 1 species